GGCACUCCAGGCGGUUGCCUGCGUCGCCUGCCCCUAAAUCCGGCCCUGGAGCCAGGACCUCAGGUGGUGUAAUUCAGUGUAGCACUCUUGACUUUAGUAGAAUUAUGCCAAUUUACACUAGUUGAGUAUCUGGCCUAUGGCAUCUAACUACAGGGAGUCUGUAGAGAUACAAGAGGAGACCCCAGUGCCUUCUUCGGAACAGCUAUGGUUCUUUCGCGCCAAUACAGAUUUUAAAAAUUGACUAAAGUGCCACUGUGUUCGGUUUAUGGCGCUUGCCUGGCAUUUUCAAGAUAAAUGUCUUGACCAUAUAAAAUGAUUUUCUUCAGAACGAAUGUCAUGUUCCACUCCAGAGGUGCCUGAAUUUCUAUGGUGGAGCUACUGGCCUAGCGGAUAGGGGAGAAGCAGUAGAUGAUAUAUCCUGAUUUUGGACACAUCUGGAUAGAAGUAUCGGCUUGCUCAUCCUCUAAGCACCAGGACAUGUAAUGAAAUGAACUGCCUAGAAUCACACUUUGGUUUUGCCUAUUCACUCCAUC